GGAUGUGGGUCAAUCUGGCUAUGACAUCUGUCACCCCAUUGAUCGCCAGCGUUGAUUCGGCUGAUCUGGCUGGUUAGGUGGGUGUCCCUUUCCUCCCUCAUUGCUCCAUGUGUGUCUCUCCAUAUGUGCACGUGGUUGAAGAGGACAAUCACCCCUGAUAGAGGAAGACUGUUCUUCAGUCAAGGGUAUAUGAGUAGCUCCCCUGCUAGAACCUCCAAACAAACUUUCAAAAUAGCUUUGAAAGGGUUGUUGGAGGUGAGAGGGUGAAUGGAGGAGAUGAAGAUGAGGGAAUAUAGUUAAUAGCUUCAUAAACAAUAUAUGAAACAGAAU
rnacentral:snRNA from 1 species